CCGCCUCAGCCUCCCGAGUAGCUGGGACUACAGGCGCCCGCCACCACGCCCGGCUAAUUUUUUUGUAAUUUUAGUAGAGACAGGGUUUCACAGUGUUAGCCAGAAUGGUCUCCAUCUCCUGACCUCGUGAUCCGCCCACCUCGGCCUCCCAAAGUGCUGGGAUCACAGGCGUGAGCCACCGCACCUGGCAACAAUGAAUCAUCUUUUAGGAUGUCUGUCCCUGCCUCCCUGCAGCGGGGCUGGCUGCUUGCACAGGGGCUAGAACACAAGGUCCCCAGCCUGAAAUUCCACCAGGAGCCUAGAACAUGGGGACUUGGGGAGUCAGUGGCCACUCGCUUUUUGCAGUAGGGCAGACAGGCAUUAGGGAUUGGUGGGGAGUUGGGCGAGGGUCUUGCCCUCAGGGUGGGCAUUUCUGUGUCCCUAUAGCAGCACUUUUGCCCGUGUCUGUGCCCCCAGCCCCGUCUCUCCUCUCUCCACCCCUCCUCACCCCUUCGAAUCUCUGGGCCUUUCUUCCGGUUUUUAGCUCCUGCUCCAUCUCCCGCCUCCCCUUGGUCCCUGUCCCCUGGGGCAGGUCACUGGGACCUCAGAUCCAGCCUCUCUCUCCUCCCACCGCCCCCCCUGCUGCGCCGCGGGGGCCAACCAGGCGAAUGCCCAGGUCUAAUCUCCAUCUGGCCCCCACGGGACCUCAGGGCAGAGCCUAAUUCCUUGUGACAGCUGAGCCGAAAGACCCCAGUUCCCAGAAGUCACCCUAGCUCCACCAGGCCAUUGGGGGAAUUUGCAACCUCCCUCCACCCCAUCUUUUUUUAGAAAAUGUAUUUAUUAUUAUAAUGUUUUGAGACAGAAUCUUGCUCUGUUGCUCAGGCUGGAGUAUAGUGGUGCAAUCAUAGCUCAAUGCAGCCUUGAACUCUUGGGCUCAAGUGAUCCUCCCACCUCAGCCUCCCAAGUAGCUGGAACUACAGGCGUGCGCCACUACACCUGGCUAAUUUCUGAAGUUUUUUGUAGAGAUGGCGGUCUCGCUACAUUGCCCUGGCUGGUCAUGAACUCCUGGGCUCAAGAGAUCCUCCUGUCUCAGCCUCCCAAAGUGCUGGGAUUAUAGGCAGGCGCCACCAUGCCUUGCCCUGAAUAAUCUUUUAGGAUGUCUGUCCCUGCCUCCCUGCAAGGGGGCUGGCUGGCCCUAUCUUUAAAAAACCUAUGACACCCCCCCACCACCUCCCACUCCACUGCCUGAAAUUCUACCCCUUACGUUGGGGGUAUC
rnacentral:lncRNA from 10 species